UACGAAGGGGGCUAGCGUUGCUCGGAAUUACUGGGCGUAAAGCGCACGUAGGCGGCUUUCUAAGUCGGAGGUGAAAUCCUGGAGCUCAACUCCAGAACUGCCUUCGAUACUGGAGAGCUUGAGUCCGGGAGAGGUGAGUGGAACUGCGAGUGUAGAGGUGAAAUUCGUAGAUAUUCGCAAGAACACCAGUGGCGAAGGCGGCUCACUGGCCCGGUACUGACGCUGAGGUGCGAAAGCGUGGGGAGCAACAGG
rnacentral:rRNA from 1 species